ACGGGGUGCAGCAGGCGCGAAACCUUCGCAAUGCACGAAAGUGCGACGAGGUUAUUUCGAGUGCUAUCCGCUGAGGAUAGCUUUUGUCAGGUGUAAAUAGCCUGGAGAAUAAGGGGAGGGCAAGUCUGGUGUCAGCCGCCGCGGUAAUACCAGCUCCCCGAGUGGUCGGGACGAUUAUUGGGCCUAAAGCAUCCGUAGCCUGCUUUGCAGGUCUUCUGUUAAAUUCAACGGCUUAACCGUUGAGCUGCAGGAGAUACCACAAGGCUAGGAGGCGGGAGAGGUAGACGGUACUCCAUGGGUAGGGGUAAAAUCCUCUGAUCCAUGGAAGACCACCAGUGGCGAAGGCGGUCUACCAGAACGCGCUCGACGGUGAGGGAUGAAAGCUGGGGGAGCGAACCGGAUUAGAUACCCGGGUAGUCCCAGCCGUAAACGAUGCUAGCUAGGUGACGGAGUGGUUUCGUACCAUUCCGGUGCCGCAGGGAAGCCGUUAAGCUAGCCGCCUGGGAGUACGUCGCAAGAC
rnacentral:rRNA from 1 species